UGAUGGUGUGGGCGUGUCACCGGGCCUGGGGAGGGUCGGGGGGGCAAGGUCGGCUGCAGGCGGAUGUAUCUUCCCUGGACUGUAGGGUGUGCGGGUCCGAAGGGGGCGAGACCCCAUCAUUAGCCUCAUCGUAUGCCCUCCCUUUCCUAGUUUUCAGUUUCAGAAAGCUCAGCAGUGCCAGUCACUACGGAGGCUUCCUGGGACAUAUCCCAACACUAAGAGAAAAAGAGGUUUUGUAGUGUCCAGAUCCAAGGGCAUCUCCCAGCUGGAGGAGAAGGAGAUGCCAUGGCCCUGCUGGGGUCUUUAUAUCCAGUGCCAUCCAGAUGCUGCAAAGAUGAGUAUGAGAAAGCCUGUGCCUCAGUAUCUCACAGGCCAGUCAGAGAG
ensembl:lncRNA